rnacentral:sRNA from 1 species
AGUUCUCUGUAGUGUUUGCCAAUGUUGGAGCCGUCUGCAAAGUGUCCCCGGCAAGAAGAGGCUGCCUACCACAAGGAAUUUAGCUUACUUUUUAAAGAUUGAAGAAAAAAAAGAAGACAGAAAAAGAAGAACUCAAAGAUACACAAAGUAAUUUGAACCAAGGCUCAGAAGUUUUUGGAGCCGUGAGGGAUACAGCAGUUUGGUCAAUAUUGUCUUAACAUGCUUCAAAUAAAUCAGCUUCUCUCCAAGAUAAAAUGGCAAACCCAAAAGAGAAAACUGCAAUGUGUCUGGUAAAUGAGUUAGCCCGUUUCAAUAGAGUCCAACCCCAGUAUAAACUUCUGAAUGAAAGAGGGCCUGCUCAUUCAAAGGCAGUAUAACUCCAACUGUGGAACUGAAUGGGCUUGCUAUGAAAAGGGGAGAGCCUGCCAUCUACAGGCCAUUAGAUCCAAAGCCAUUCCCAAAUUAUAGAGCU